rnacentral:rRNA from 1 species
UACGGAGGAUGCAAGCGUUGUCCGGAUUUAUUGGGCGUAAAGAGCUCGUAGGCGGCUUGUUGCGUCGACUGUGAAAACCCGGAGCUCAACUCCGGGCCUGCAGUCGAUACGGGCGGACUUGAGUGUUGCAGGGGAGACUGGAAUUCCUGGUGUAGCGGUGAAAUGCGCAGAUAUCAGGAGGAACACCGGUGGCGAAGGCGGGUCUCUGGGCAGCUACUGACGCUGAGGAGCGAAAGCGUGGGGAGCGAACAGG